GAUGAACGCUAGCUGGAGGCUUAAUACAUGCAAGUCGAGCGGGAUUGGUAGCAAUACCCAUGAGAGCGGCGCACGGGUGAGUAACGCGUACACGACCUACCUCUGACAGGGGGAUAGCCCUGGGAAACUGGGAUUAAUACCGCAUAUUAUUCUGAAUAAUAAAGGUUUGGAAUGAAAGCUGAGGCGGUCAGAGAUGGGUGUGCGUCUGAUUAGCUAGUUGGUAGGGUAACGGCCUACCAAGGCGAUGAUCAGUAGGGGGCGUGAGAGCGUGGUCCCCCCAACGGGUACUGAGACACGGACCCGA
rnacentral:rRNA from 1 species